ACGUAGGGGGCAAGCGUUAUCCGGAUUUACUGGGUGUAAAGGGAGCGUAGACGGCGACGCAAGUCUGAAGUGAAAUACCCGGGCUCAACCUGGGAACUGCUUUGGAAACUGUGUUGCUGGAGUGCUGGAGAGGUAAGCGGAAUUCCUAGUGUAGCGGUGAAAUGCGUAGAUAUUAGGAAGAACACCAGUGGCGAAGGCGGCUUACUGGACAGUAACUGACGUUGAGGCUCGAAAGCGUGGGGAGCAAACAG
rnacentral:rRNA from 1 species